AUAGGGGAGCCGCAGGGAAACCGAGUCUUAAUUGGGCGUUAAGUUGCAGGGUAUAGACCCGAAACCCGGUGAUCUAGCCAUGGGCAGGUUGAAGGUUGGGUAACACUAACUGGAGGACCGAACCGACUAAUGUUGAAAAAUUAGCGGAUGACCUGUGGCUGGGGGUGAAAGGCCAAUCAAACCGGGAGAUAGCUGGUUCUCCCCGAAAGCUAUUUAGGUAGCGCCUCGUGAAUUCAUCUCCGGGGGUAGAGCACUGUUUCGGCUAGGGGGCCAUCCCGGCUUACCAACCCGAUGCAAACUGCGAAUACCGGAGAAUGUUAUCACGGGAGACACACGGCGGGUGCUAACGUCCGUCGUGAAGAGGGAAACAACCCAGACCGCCAGCUAAGGUCCCAAAGUCAUGGUUAAGUGGGAAACGAUGUGGGAAGGCCCAGACAGCCAGGAUGUUGGCUUAGAAGCAGCCAUCAUUUAAAGAAAGCGUAAUAGCUCACUGGUCGAGUCGGCCUGCGCGGAAGAUGUAACGGGGCUAAACCAUGCACCGAAGCUGCGGCAGCGACGCUGAUGCGUUGUUGGGUAGGGGAGCGUUCUGUAAGCCUGUGAAGGUGUGUCGUGAGGCAUGCUGGAGGUAUCAGAAGUGCGAAUGCUGACAUAAGUAACGAUAAAGCGGGUGAAAAGCCCGCUCGCCGGAAGACCAAGGGUUCCUGUCCAACGUUAAUCGGGGCAGGGUGAGUCGACCCCUAAGGCGAGGCCGAAAGGCGUAGUCGAUGGGAAACGGGUUAAUAUUCCCGUACUUGGUGUUACUGCGAAGGGGGGACGGAGAAGGCUAUGUUGGCCGGGCGACGGUUGUCCCGGUUUAAGCGUGUAGGUGUGUGUUCCAGGUAAAUCCGGUUCACUUUAACACUGAGGCGUGAUGACGAGGCACUACGGUGCUGAAGCAACAAAUGCCCUGCUUCCAGGAAAAGCCUCUAAGCAUCAGGUAACAUCAAAUCGUACCCCAAACCGACACAGGUGGUCAGGUAGAGAAUACCAAGGCGCUUGAGAGAACUCGGGUGAAGGAACUAGGCAAAAUGGUGCCGUAACUUCGGGAGAAGGCACGCUGACAC
rnacentral:rRNA from 3 species